UACGUAGGGGGCAAGCGUUGUCCGGAAUUAUUGGGCGUAAAGGGCUCGUAGGCGGUUUGUCGCGUCGGGAGUGAAAACCUUGGGCUUAACUCAGGGCUUGCUUUCGAUACGGGCAGACUAGAGGUAUGCAGGGGAGAACGGAAUUCCUGGUGUAGCGGUGAAAUGCGUAGAUAUCUGGAGGAACACCGGUGGCGAAGGCGGCAUCCUGGACCAACACUGACACUGAGUAGCGAAAGCCAGGGGAGCAAACGGG
rnacentral:rRNA from 1 species